rnacentral:rRNA from 1 species
CAGGCCUAACACAUGCAAGUCGAGCGGGAUUAUACAGACGGAAGCUUCGGUGGAAGAUUGUAUAUGAGAGCGGCGGACGGGUGAGUAAAGCCUUAGAAUCUGCCCCUAAGUGAGGGAUAGCCACGGGAAACUGUGAUUAAUACCGCAUAUGCUGGAGACAGUAAAGCCUUCGGGCGCUUAGGGAGGAGCUUUGGUCCUAUCAGCUAGUUGGUGAGGUAAAGGCUCACCAAGGCAAUGACGGGUAGCUGGUCUGAGAGGAUGAUCAGCCACAAUGGAACUGAGACACGGUCCAUACUCCUACGGGAGGCAGCAGUGAGGAAUCUUCCACAAUGGACGAAAGUCUGAUGGAGCGAUGCCGCGUGAAGGAUGAAGGUUGAGAGAUUGUAAACUUCUUUUCUGGGGGAGAAUAAUGAUAGUACCUCAGGAAUAAGGGACGGCUAACUACGUGCCAGCAGCCGCGGUAAUACGUAGGUCCCAAGCAUUAUCCGGAAUUAUUGGGCGUAAAGCGUCUGUAGGCUGACUUGUAAGUUGAUAAUGAAAGACCGAAGCUCAACUUCGUGUUUGUUAUCAAAACUGCAAGUCUAGAAUUAGGGAGAGGUAAGUAGAAUUCUAAGUGUAGGGGUGCAAUCCGUAGAUACUUAGAGGAAUACCAAAAGCGAAGGCAACUUACUGGAACUAUAUUGACGCUGAGAGACGAAAGCGUGGGGAGCGAAAAGGAUUAGAUACCCUUGUAGUCCACGCCGUAAACGAUGAUAACUAGGUGUUGGGAUUUAGUCUCAGUGCUGUAGCUAACGCGUUAAGUUAUCCGCCUGAGGAGUACGGUCGCAAGAUUAAAACUCAAAGGAAUAGACGGGGAACCACACAAGCAGUGGAUCACGUGGUUUAAUUCGACAAUACACGGGGAACCUUACCUAGGCUUGACAUCUUCAGAAUCUCGAGGAAACUUGAGAGUGCUCGCAAGAGAACUGGAUGACAGGUGCUGCAUGGUUGUCGUCAGCUCGUGCCUUGAGGUGUUCGGUUAAGUCCGUUAACGAGCGCAACCCAUGUCAUUAGUUACUAUGUCUAAUGAGACUGCCCUGGUUAACAGGGAGGAAGGUGUGGAUGACGUCAAAUCAGCAUGGCUUUUACGCCUAGGGCUACACACAUGAUACAAUGGUCUAUACAAAGGGUAGCCAAACCGCGAGGUGGAGCCAAUCCCAUAAAGUAGAUCUCAGUCCGGAUUGGAGGCUGCAACUCGCCUCCAUGAAGUUGGAAUUGCUAGUAAUCGUGAAUCAGAUAUGUCACGGUGAAUACGUUCCUGGUUCUUGUACACACCGCCCGU